ACGAAUUAGUUAAAAGAAGAAGUUAUGAAGAAUGGGUGUGUGGAAGACAAGAAAUUGUUAAUACGUAAAGUGACAAUAUUAUAGACGAAAAGGACUAACCUAACAAAUGUGAUGUUACGUUAAUGUUGCAAGUUAACCAAGAAUUGUGUUAUCAUUAUUUACACACUGAGACUGUAACGUACGGACGUGCCGACAUACAAACAGUUUUGAACGAACAUGUAAAAAAAUAUGGAAAAACAAAUAUAUUCAUGGUUAAUCAUUAUCUACCUCUACAUAACAAAGUCGUCAGUGGCAGACCAGUGCACAAUCCGAGAUGAUGGCCAUUGUUUCUACACCGUGAAUUGCGAUGAUCCUGCCAGAAUCAGUAUCAACCGCCCUUGUGAUACCGAUCCUUAUAUCACGCUCAUCAUCAAUAAGUCUCCAAUUCACAACGUUACAGCAAAUGUUUUUAACACUAGCUUCGAUAAAUAUGUUCAAAUUCUCUCCACUGAGGACAAUAACUGGAAUAACGUUCAAGAUUUUGCUUUCAGCAACUUCAAAAAUGUUAUGUAUAUCGACUUGUCUGAAAGUCACAUUAAAAGUAUAGGGAGAGCCUUUAUUGGAUUAGGACAGCUCGACUCCCUAAACUUGUCGCGCAAUGACCUUGAAAUAAUAGACCCUGGAGUUUUUAAGUUUAGCGAAGAUAGAAGCAGAUUAUAUUUGUUGGAUUUAUCUUACAAUCUACUGACAUACUUACAAGAAGACUUUUUUGAAAAUCUGUAUAAUCUCCGAAAGUUAUAUUUGCAAGGGAACAAGCUGACAUUUUUGGGAGAUCAACAUUUUAAGCACUUGAAAAAUUUGGACUAUUUAAAUUUAUGUUGUAGCAACUUAAGUACAUUAGAUAUAAGUUUAAAAUCGUUAACUACUUUGACAGAAAUCGAUUUGUCGAAUAAUAAUUUAGAAAAGGUUGAUUUGUUUGAUCUUAAAUCUUUAGAAGCCAUUGAUUUAUCACAUAAUAAUAUCGAAGAAGUCGUGUUU